AUUGAACGCCGGCGGCAGGCCUAACACAUGCAAGUCGAACGGUAGCACAGAGGAGCUUGCUCCUUGGGUGACGAGUGGCGGACGGGUGAGUAAUGUCUGGGAAACUGCCCGCUGGAGGGGGAUAACUACUGGAAACGGUAGCUAAUACCGCAUAACGUCGCAAGACCAAAGAGGGGGACCUUCGGGCCUCUUGCCAUCGGAUGUGCCCAGAUGGGAUUCGCUAGUAGGUGGGGUAACGGCACACCUAGGCGACGAUCCAUAGCUGGUCUGAGAGGAUGACCAGCCACACUGGAACUGGUACACGGACCAGACGCCUACGGGAGGCAGCAGUGGGGAAUAUUGCACAAUGGGCGCAAGCCUGAUGCAGCCAUGCCGCGUGUAUGAAGAAGGCCUUCGGGUUGUAAAGUACUUUCAGCGAGGAGGAAGGCGUUGUGGUUGAUAACCGCAGCGAUUGACGUUACUCGCAGAAGAAGCACCGGCUAACUCCGUGCCAGCAGCCGCGGUAA
rnacentral:rRNA from 1 species